AGCUCUCCGAUGGGCACAGGCUCCACUUAUGGCUGGUUUGGAAUGGCAAAUCCAUCACUCUCUUUGCCUGUAAAAUGCCAAGGAGACUGAUCUAAGCAGGGGGUUCCCAUCCAUGGCCUGCUCUAGGCCUGAAGGAACACAGAUGGCAUUUGCAGGAAGAUGACAUCUCACCAUCCCCAUCUGAGCAAAGCCUGCCCAUCAAACAACCAAAGGAUAGCCAGUCCCCUGCACAGUGUAAAGUGACUUGCAGUGAUCCUCUUCCCCAAGGCCAGCCCCAGCUCUCAGACCUCCAGUCCCAACAAGUCUUUUUUUGCAAAGGAGGCUCACCCUGGAACAUGGCUCUCCCAAGGGGAGACAGGAACGGAUGUUGACUUCAUCCCAGCAGCUUCUGACACAAUGCCACUAUCUUUCAACUUUCUCCACCAACAGGGUCAGGCUGUUGAUUGGCCUCGACUGCAGUUAGCCUGACACGGCUAGCAGCCUCAAAACAAAUUAAACGAGGCAGGGAUGCCGUGCAGUGAUCGUUCCAUUAUGUCCCCUCUGCUUCCACACGUGACUCACACUAUCACUUUUAGAAGGUGAAGCAUCUUAUUGAAUCAACACCUAAUCUGCACACAGUGUCACGGAGGAGGGGCGAGGGGACAGCGGGAGCAUUUUCUCUGAUCCUUUUCUUUCCUGAAGACUUCGCUGGAGACAGGCUGGGUGGGGGCGAAGAUGAAUUGUGAGGAACCCUGACCCUAUUUCAGUACUGCUGCUACUGUCAGCUCCGACAGAUUUAUAGCCCAUUCAUUCAUGGGAACAAAAACCCUGCCACGGCUGGUCAUGGGACACGCAAUAGCAGUUAGUUCAAAAGAUAACAGCUGCAAUACCUCACCUCUCCAUUCAGCACUACAGAGCCAGCACUACUUCGGAGUCCACCCAACACAAGCUGGGUUGCUGAACCUUUGCAACUCAAGCACUUAGGCAACGCUGAAAAGCCGAGCUUCCUCGUGGUAAGUGGCAAUGUGGGUAUAUACAUUCUCCUUGCAAACUGAUCAGAAACAGAGCUCGGGCAUGAGUCCUGUCCCGACAAGAAGAGGCAGCUGGUCUGACUAGUCCACCACCAUCCUCAGAGCCUGGACACACACAACAAGCAUGUAUUAAAAGAAUCCAUGGA
ensembl:lncRNA novel transcript